AAACUGAUAUUCAUAAAUGAAGGGGCCAAGUGUCAAACAACAAAUAAUCUACAGUACACGAAAAAACAGUACAAAACACUAUAGCACACGAAAAGACAGCACAAAGCACCAAAACCACUCAAGCACAGAGGAAAAGGCACACAUAAAACAAAACCAAAAAAGAAAAACACUCCACCCUCCAAAGAAAAUACCAAAUGAAUACCAGCAAAAUCAUUCCUCUGCUGCUCAACAAAAAGACUCGCGCAGAACCAAAUGAAGAGGAAGACUCGGCUUUGAGAAACCAAACAACGGAGAUUCAAGGAACCUUCUCCGAAACAUCAAAACCCAUAAGAAACCACUCAUCCUCGGCGACUCCAGUCCAACCAGUCCGAAGCCGCCAAAACUUCGACAGAAAUAGGUGCUUCUUCAACCCAAAAACAAGGAGAAUUCCUCCUGCGCCCUUCUAGUGCCAAAGUAUGAGCUGCCCGAUUGCCACUCCUGGGGACAAACUGUGUUAAGCUUUUUAAUAAUCGAGAGGGAGUCCCCUUCCAGGAUGAUCGUCCUAAAACCCCAUGUCAAUUGCAAAGAGAAGAGCACGUUCACAGGCCCUAGCUUCUGCAACAAACGCGUCGGCAACA